UGCGGAUGUGGUGGAAUUGGCAGACACGCUAGAUUUAGGUUCUAGUGAGUAUACCUCGUGAGAGUUCAAGUCUCUCCAUCCGCAU
rnacentral:tRNA from 1 species